AAGUAAUGGAAUCUUUGAGGCAAAAGUAAGACACUAGAGAGGAACUCGAAUCUGCAAAGGACACUGGGAAAGAUGACAAAAGUAAGACCUAGAGAAGCCUCCAAAACAAGUCAGGAACAGUGGAGCCCGGAGCUGAAGCUGGUCUCAUUCCACAAGAUGCCUGCUGAGUGACCCUUUCCUGACGGUAAUCAGAGGCUGCUUGCAGCUCCAAGCGUCUUCUCAAAUAACCAUGAUGCUUGUAUGUUAUUUGGGAGAUUCUUUCAGAUGAAGGAAGGACCUGUAGUAAUCCAAAAUAGAGGUCAUCUUGUAUUCUUCACACAUUUCCAAUGACUAAUUCUCAUUGGACCAGUGACCAAUUCUGACAACAGCACCUUGGGACAC